GGAAUUAUUGGGCGUAAAGAGCUCGUAGGCGGUUUGUCGCGUCUGUCGUGAAAGUCCGGGGCUUAACCCCGGGAUCUGCGGUGGGUACGGGCAGACUAGAGUGCAGUAGGGGAGACUGGAAUUCCUGGUGUAGCGGUGGAAUGCGCAGAUAUCAGGAGGAACACCGAUGGCGAAGGCAGGUCUCUGGGCUGUAACUGACGCUGAGGAGCGAAAGCAUGGGGAGCGAACAGGAUUAGAUACCCUGGUAGUCCAUGCCGUAAACGUUGGGCACUAGGUGUGGGGACCAUUCCACGGUUUCCGCGCCGCAGCUAACGCAUUAAGUGCCCCGCCUGGGGAGUACGGCCGCAAGGCUAAAACUCAAAGGAAUUGACGGGGGCCCGCACAAGCGGCGGAGCAUGCGGAUUAAUUCGAUGCAACGCGAAGAACCUUACCAAGGCUUGACAUGUUCUCGAUCGCCGUAGAGAUACGGUUUCCCCUUUGGGGCGGGUUCACAGGUGGUGCAUGGUUGUCGUCAGCUCGUGUCGUGAGAUGUUGGGUUAAGUCCCGCAACGAGCGCAACCCUCGUUCCAUGUUGCCAGCACGUAAUGGUGGGGACUCAUGGGAGACUGCCGGGGUCAACUCGGAGGAAGGUGAGGACGACGUCAAAUCAUCAUGCCCCUUAUGUCUUGGGCUUCACGCAUGCUACAAUGGCCGGUACAAUGGGUUGCGAUACUGUGAGGUGGAGCUAAUCCCAAAAAGCCGGUCUCAGUUCGGAUUGGGGUCUGCAACUCGACCCCAUGAAGUCGGAGUCGCUAGUAAUCGCAGAUCAGCAACGCUGCGGUGAAUACGUUCCCGGGCCUUGUACACACCGCCCGUCAAGUCACGAAAGUUGGUAACACCCGAAGCCGG
rnacentral:rRNA from 1 species